UACGUAGGGUCCGAGCGUUGUCCGGAAUUAUUGGGCGUAAAGGGCUCGUAGGCGGUUCGUCACGUCGGGAGUGAAAACUCGGAGCUUAACUCCGAGCCUGCUUCCGAUACGGGCAGACUAGAGGUAUGCAGGGGAGAACGGAAUUCCUGGUGUAGCGGUGGAAUGCGCAGAUAUCAGGAGGAACACCGGUGGCGAAGGCGGUUCUCUGGGCAUUACCUGACGCUGAGGAGCGAAAGCAUGGGGAGCGAACAGG
rnacentral:rRNA from 1 species